GAUGAACGCUGGCGGCGUGCCUAAUACAUGCAAGUCGAACGCAUAGCGAAAGGUGCUUGCACCUUUCAAGUGAGUGGCGAACGGGUGAGUAACACGUGGACAACCUGCCUCAAGGCUGGGGAUAACAUUUGGAAACAGAUGCUAAUACCGAAUAAAACUUAGUGUCGCAUGACACAAAGUUAAAAGGCGCUUCGGCGUCACCUAGAGAUGGAUCCGCGGUGCAUUAGUUAGUUGGUGGGGUAAAGGCCUACCAAGACAAUGAUGCAUAGCCGAGUUGAGAGGCUGAUCGGCCACAUUGGGACUGAGACACGGCCCAAACUCCUACGGGAGGCUGCAGUAGGGAAUCUUCCACAAUGGGCGAAAGCCUGAUGGAGCAACGCCGCGUGUGUGAUGAAGGCUUUCGAGUCGUAAAGCACUGUUGUAUGGGAAGAACAGCUAGAAUAGGAAAUGAUUUUAGUUUGACGGUACCAUACCAGAAAGGGACGGCUAAAUACGUG
rnacentral:rRNA from 1 species